AAGUGAUGAAGUGGCUGUUUAUUCGAGUGAGCACGCCAUGGAGCUUAACGGAAGGUUGCAUAUCAGCCUUGACUCGAAUAGACUAACAAGUUGAAAGAAAAAUGUGACUA
ncrna:unclassified sequences drum RNA